rnacentral:rRNA from 1 species
GACGAACGCUGGCGGCGUGCCUAAUACAUGCAAGUCGAGCGCAGGAAAUCAUCCGAACCCUUCGGGGGGACGUUGAUGGAAUGAGCGGCGGACGGGUGAGUAACACGUAAAGAACCUGCCCUUAGGUCUGGGAUAACCACGAGAAAUCGGGGCUAAUACCGGAUGGGUCAUCGGACCGCAUGGUCCGAGGAUGAAAGGCGCUUCGGCGUCGCCUGGGGAUGGUUUUGCGGUGCAUUAGCUAGUUGGUGGGGUAAUGGCCCACCAAGGCGACGAUGCAUAGCCGACCUGAGAGGGUGAUCGGCCACACUGGGACUGAGACACGGCCCAGACUCCUACGGGAGGCAGCAGUAGGGAAUCUUCCACAAUGGACGAAAGUCUGAUGGAGCAACGCCGCGUGAACGAUGAAGGCCUUCGGGUCGUAAAGUUCUGUUGUAAGGGAAGAACAAGUGCCGCAGGCAAUGGCGGCACCUUGACGGUACCUUGCGAGAAAGCCACGGCUAACUACGUGCCAGCCGCCGCGGUAAUAC